AAAUUGAAGAGUUUGAUCAUGGCUCAGAUUGAACGCUGGCGGCAGGCCUAACACAUGCAAGUCGAACGGUAACAGGAAACAGCUUGCUGUUUCGCUGACGAGUGGCGGACGGGUGAGUAAUGUCUGGGAAACUGCCCGAUGGAGGGGGAUAACUACUGGAAACGGUAGCUAAUACCGCAUAACGUCGCAAGACCAAAGAGGGGGACCUUCGGGCCUCUUGCUAUCGGAUGUGCCCAGAUGGGAUUAGCUAGUAGGUGGGGUAACGGCUCACCUAGGCGACGAUCCCUAGCUGGUCUGAGAGGAUGACCAGCCACAC
rnacentral:rRNA from 1 species